rfam:Coprococcus sp. CAG:782 genomic scaffold, scf225
GCCGGCGUGUCGGAAUUGGCAGACGAGGCAGACUCAAAAUCUGUUGGCGGCAACGUCGUGCGGGUUCAAGUCCCGCCGCCGGCA